rnacentral:lncRNA from 1 species
UCCUUCUCCACCCCAAGCUAUCAGACAAGCACCAGAACUGGAUUCGGCUCCAACAUUGUAUUCUCUGGAGGUGUUACUGGACUCUGAAGAGCAGAAAUUCUUCACCUGCAUCCACAGAGUGUAAGCUGUAUAAAGGCAGGAACGUUGUCUUCUGAUAUUUUCUCAAAUAUAACAAGUCUGAAAAAUAAUUAGUGAAUGGAUGUAUGAAUAAAUGAUUAAUCAAUAAAUUUGGAAACACAAGGAUCUAGAAGAGAAACCCCAUGUGAGUAAUUGGCUCCUCUUUUUGAAAUUAUUUUUACUUCAUUACACAAAAUUUCAUUUAUGUAUCACAGCACCUAACUUGGAUCAUGUCUGAUGCUUCUUCCCUUGCUUUACGGCUUUAGAGAAAAAGAGACACCUGGUUGUUUUAUGAAGAUUCCCUUGUGACUACUUGUCACCUUCCAUAGCCUUGCUGCUGGAAUCAGUGCUCAGCUAAGCUGUUCUCUCCUCUGUCUCAGUCUUCUCCAGCUCCAGAUGUAACCAGAAAGAUCUUUCUAGGGUGAGGGUCUGACUGUGAGAGCCCUUUC